UUGGGUGACGAGUGGCGGACGGGUGAGUAAUGUCUGGGGAUCUGCCCGAUAGAGGGGGAUAACCACUGGAAACGGUGGCUAAUACCGCAUAACGUCGCAAGACCAAAGAGGGGGACCUUCGGGCCUCUCACUAUCGGAUGAACCCAGAUGGGAUUAGCUAGUAGGCGGGGUAAUGGCCCACCUAGGCGACGAUCCCUAGCUGGUCUGAGAGGAUGACCAGCCACACUGGAACUGAGACACGGUCCAGACUCCUACGGGAGGCAGCAGUGGGGAAUAUUGCACAAUGGGCGCAAGCCUGAUGCAGCCAUGCCGCGUGUAUGAAGAAGGCCUUCGGGUUGUAAAGUACUUUCAGCGGGGAGGAAGGCGAUGC
rnacentral:rRNA from 1 species